AGCUUUAUUGGACAAUGAGGUGGCCAGGAAUGCUAUGCUGCUCGGGGCUUCCAGGCACUGGUUUCCUCUUUGGGGAACAGUUCCUCAAUAAAAGAAAUUGAACGAGUACAUUAAGACCUGUUCAGAAAGCAGCUCAAUGGCUAGGUGUGAUGGCUUAUGCCUGUAAUACCAGCACUUUGUGAGGCUGAGGCAGGAGGAUCCCUUGAGGCCAGGAGUUCAAGAUUAGCCUGGACAACAAAGUGAGACCUCAUCUACAAAAAAUAAAAAAAUUAGCUGGGCGUGGUGGCUCACAUCUGUGGUCCCAGCUACAUGGGAGGCUGAGGCAGGAGGAUUACUUGAGGUUAGGAGGUCGAGGCUGCAGUGAGCUCUGAUUGUGCCACGGCACUCCAGCCUGCGUGACAGAGUGAGACCUUGUUUCAGGGGGAAAAAAAAAAAAAAGAAGAAAGCACCUCAACUAAAUGGAGACCUUUGGCUGUGUCCUUGUGCCCUCUGCCUUUGUGCGUGGGGAGUAGGUGUGGGUGGGCCUUCCAGGGGACGCUGGUUUUGGGUCACUGUAGCCCGCAUGAUUUGGGGACGGCACUAGGCUGUGGCGGGCGGGAGGCAGGUUCCCGACACCAUUCAUCAUGGAUGAACAAUGUCUUGGGGAUGGUUCCGUGUCAGUCCAGACCUCAUUCUGUUUCAUGACUGUGCAAUGGCAGCUGUCAUACUGCUGGGGGUCAGGUGCUGUUCAGAACGCCUCAUGUGGGUUCAGUGACUGUGUAGGAGUGUCAGUAGCAAGUGUGCACCUCCUGUGGCCUUGCUUGUGUCGAUAACACCUACAUUGCUUUGUCUCUGUCACCAGCAAGGGUGCAACAGACGUUCUGUGACGCAUCUUCAUGCACAUGUGUGAAUAUGUCUGUGUGAUCCAUUCUUAGAUGUGGAGUUGCCGGGCCAGAGUGUCCUGCGUUUGAAAUGGGCAGUUAGCACCAACCUGUGGCUCCAUCUUAGGUGGUUUCCCAGGGACACAGGAAGCUGAGGGGGCAGCGCUGGGGGGAGCUGCCUAGCGCCCGCUGAAGCCGCACCCCUCCUGUCUUUGCAGGUCGGCUGGAUGAUGUGGAACUGGAUGGUGUCCCUUCUGGCCACAGGAGCGGCCAUGGUCUUGUACGAUGGCUCCCCCCUGGUGCCCACGCCCAAUGUGCUCUGGGACCUGGUUGACAGGAUAGGCAUCACUGUCCUGGUAACUGGGGCCAAGUGGCUGUCAGUGCUGGAAGAGAAGGCCAUGAAGCCGGUGGAAACCCACAGUCUCCAGAUGCUCCACACGAUCCUGUCCACUGGCUCCCCACUGAAAGCCCAGAGCUACGAGUAUGUCUACAGGUGCAUCAAGAGCAGCAUCCUCCUGGGCUCCAUCUCAGGAGGCACCGACAUCAUCUCCUGCUUCAUGGGCCACAAUUUUUCUCUUCCUGUGUAUAAAGGGGAGAUUCAGGCCCGGAACCUGGGCAUGGCCGUGGAAGCGUGGAACGAGGAAGGAAAGGCGGUCUGGGGAGAGAGCGGCGAGCUGGUGUGUACUAAGCCGAUCCCUUGCCAGCCCACACACUUCUGGAACGAUGAGAACGGCAACAAGUACAGGAAGGCGUAUUUCUCCAAAUUCCCAGGUAUCUGGGCUCAUGGCGACUACUGCAGAAUCAACCCCAAGACCGGGGGCAUCAUCAUGCUUGGCCGGAGUGACGGCACCCUCAACCCCAACGGGGUGCGGUUCGGCAGCUCGGAAAUCUAUAACAUUGG
rnacentral:sRNA from 1 species